AGGAUUAGAUACCCUAGUAUAAUUAUAAUUUAUGGGAAGAGUAUAAGAUGAAAAUUAAAAUUUUUGGCGGUAAGUUAUUGGUUAGAGGAGUUUGCUUGUUGUAGAAAAUACUCUUUAUAUUUUAAAAUUUUGUGUUUAUUUAUUUCCGUAUAGAUGAAAAUUAUGUGAGUUUAUUCUUAAAUUUCAGGUCAAGAUGUAGCUAAAAAUUAAUUUGUUUAACUACAAUUAUGGAAUAAUGGAUUUUUAAUUGAAAAAAGGAUGAAAUUGAAUUUAAUCGUAAUAUUAUUUAGAAGGAUAAUAUGAAAUUAAGUAAUUUAUGUAUAUAUUGCCCGUCACUUCUUUUAGUACAGAGAAUAAGUCGUAACAAAGUAAAUUU
rnacentral:rRNA from 1 species